UACAGAGGUGGCAAGCGUUGUUCGGAAUUACUGGGCGUAAAGGGCGCGUAGGCGCCUUCUAAGUCAGACGUGAAAUCCCCCGGCUUAACCUGGGAACUGCGUCUGAUACUGGAAGGCUUGAGUUUGGGAGAGGGAUGCAGAAUUCCAGGUGUAGCGGUGAAAUGCGUAGAUAUCUGGAGGAACACCGGUGGCGAAGGCGGCAUCCUGGACCGGUAUUGACGC
rnacentral:rRNA from 1 species